CGCUCACCCACGCUGCAGGUCACACCACCCGGGUCACACCGCUCACCCACACUGCAGGUCGCAUCACGUCUUCUCCUGCCCUCCUACUGCUCCACUUGGGUUCCCGUCGUCUCUUCUCCCAAGCUCUCACGGUAACCUUUCUAUAAAAAAAGUCAACUUUAAUCGAUUACAACUUUGACAGAGCUGUCUGUUGCUGGACAUUGAUGUCUUGGGGCCUUUGGGACUGUGCUCAUCAAUUGUGUAAAAGGGGAAAAAAACUCAAUUAACCGUGGCAAUGUCAGUGGAGGAGGGGCGAUGGGGGUGCCUGCCCCCCCAUUGACAAAAAAAAUCAAAUUUGUAUGUUCAAGAGUGGCAGAGAGGUGGCCUGGAUAAAACAAGAAUACGGAUAAUACAGAACACGAGUUACUUGGGGUCUCAGCAUGUCUCGGUUACACGCGUAGAGUGGGAGUCAAGAUGUGUAGGCUACGUCUAAGUUGCAUCUUCAAGUAAAUCGGCAUACUUGAUGUGUUUGCGGUCAUGUGGACAGACUCGCUGGCCCGCGACAAGUGAGGAGCAUCUGAUCAUAGAACCAGCAAAGUGUGAAAUACACACGUAUAAUUUUGCAAGCGCUGGAAGAUCCACCCACGGAUAACCGAGAGUUGUCCGUACGUACACCCAGCACGUAUUGCGUUGCGUGUCCUGGCCCUUGGCUUUAUUGCAGCAUGACACGCGGCUGUGUGGAGUCGCAAGCGGCAGCCGACACGGCGCACGUGUCAUCGUUGUAUGCCCAUUCGUGUCGGUUGCGAUUCUAUGAAAUUUGGGGGCUGGGUGGGACACGUGCACAUGCCCCCUUUCUAUUGAACAGCAGUGUCCCCGCCAUCUCCUUAUUUAGAGUUGGCUACAACAGGAUGGCUGCGGAGACACUCAAUAAGUUCGAGUUAAUCUUGUUGAGAGGUCAUCACGAGGGGUGCCGCUGAUACCACCGCCAGCAUCACCGCCCUCGGGGUUGAGAGCGCGCGGUGAAUGUGCAUUCGGUACAAUGCACAGAGCAAACACCGUGGCUACCCACACUGACGGUAGCGAUGAUGGUUGUCUGUUGUGUUGGACAAUGCAUGUGAAGGGCUGUGCGGAAAUAAUUCCUACCGCCAAGCUUUAAUAUUGGCCAGGGCACUGCGAACGGGGGAACGGGGCGCCCUUAAAACAGACACGAAGAGUGAUAGACCGACCGACACAGACAUAGAAAGAAAAGAGUCAUGUACAGAGAGACGGGGGGGGGGGGGGUGACCUGCAGAGAGAGAGAGACGCAGACAUGGAGACUGACACACAAAUGGAACUACGGAAACAACUUUGACGACAACCGAGACGGAGAGACACCGAUCAUGCCGGGAGCCCUAACACACGGGUGGGAGCGGGUGUGCACAACAAUUAAGGUUACCAGCAACGAUGAGAGCCACUGUAGGUUCUUAUCUUAGGGAGCCACGUGUCCAAUAAGGCAAUGAUGAGUACGCGAGGCGCGUGGUUGAUGUAGACCAGGGGGGUAUGGAAGCUAUUAACUCACCCAGGUACAAAUAGGACUUCUAAAUACCUUUGACGGUCCAACCACACAUUAGCCAGCAUUAAACAUUGAUCGUGCUCGGACUACUUGAAACUCAAUGAGCGUGCUACAAUUGUGAAGUGUCGCCCUCUAGUAGCCGAUUAGUGCGCCCGAGAUGCUUUGCAGCGACGAAUAAAUAUUGUUUGUAUUGGGUGGGGGGGAGGGGUCGUCGCGAAGUGGCUGACUUCGUUUUACCGCCCAGCCGCGUGUAACGACGUCUCUUUAAAUUCUCCCGCUGCCUUUCACGGCAGAGGAGAGACGCAGGCGGGGAAUGUUGCAGUGGAAUUAUUCUCGAUGAGAAUGUAUUUUUGCACCGUUGUCUGGCGUGACAUGUACAAUAUAUAGUGUGUAUAUACACACACACACGGUCGCGUGUAAUUAAGAGGUUGUGUCGGGCUGGGAGUUGUGGUUAAGGGGGCUUAGAACGAGACCACGCUUUUAACAUAUCCUGAUUCUCCCUACCAGGGCAGUGUGCCGGGAUCGCUUUUGAACUGGCAGGAAUGUGAUUCCGUUUGAUUUUCAUCGACUGGUUUAGCUGCAUCGUCGAUAAAUGUAACCUUUUGUGAGUAGAGAGUCUCGUAUGAUAAUAAAAAAUAUAUAUAGCUGCAGUAAAGUAUGCGCACAAUUUAAAA